rnacentral:rRNA from 1 species
AGGAAGGAUCCGAGCGUUAUCCGGAUUUAUUGCGUUUAAAGGGAGCGUAGAUGGAUGUUUAAGUCAGUUGUGAAAGUUUGCGGCUCAACCGUAAAAUUGCAGUUGAUACUGGAUAUCUUGAGUGCAGUUGAGGCAGGCGGAAUUCGUGGUGUAGCGGUGAAAUGCUUAGAUAUCACGAAGAACUCCGAUUGCGAAGGCAGCCUGCUAAGCUGCAACUGACAUUGAGGCUCGAAAGUGUGGGUAUCAAACAGGAUUAGAUACCCUGGUAGUCCACACGGUAAACGAUGAAUACUCGCUGUUUGCGAUAUACAGCAAGCGGCCAAGCGAAAGCGUUAAGUAUUCCACCUGGGGAGUACGCCGGCAACGGUGAAACUCAAAGGAAUUGACGGGGGCCCGCACAAGCGGAGGAACAUGUGGUUUAAUUCGAUGAUACGCGAGGAACCUUACCCGGGCUUAAAUUGCAGAUGAAUUACGGUGAAAGCCGUAAGCCGCAAGGCAUCUGUGAAGGUGCUGCAUGGUUGUCGUCAGCUCGUGCCGUGAGGUGUCGGCUUAAGUGCCAUAACGAGCGCAACCCUUGUUGUCAGUUACUAACAGGUUCUGCUGAGGACUCUGACAAGACUGCCAUCGUAAGAUGUGAGGAAGGUGGGGAUGACGUCAAAUCAGCACGGCCCUUACGUCCGGGGCUACACACGUGUUACAAUGGGGGGUACAGAGGGCCGCUACCACGCGAGUGGAUGCCAAUCCCCAAAACCUCUCUCAGUUCGGACUGGAGUCUGCAACCCGACUCCACGAAGCUGGAUUCGCUAGUAAUCGCGCAUCAGCCACGGCGCGGUGAAUACGUUCCCGGGCCUUGCACACACCGCCCGU